rnacentral:rRNA from 1 species
AACGAACGCUGGCGGCAUGCCUAACACAUGCAAGUCGAACGAGACCUUCGGGUCUAGUGGCGCACGGGUGCGUAACGCGUGAGAACCUGCCCUUAGGUUCGGAAUAACUCCCCGAAAGGGGUGCUAAUACCGGAUAAUGUCUUCGGACCAAAGAUUUAUCGCCUUUGGAUGGGCCCGCGUUGGAUUAGCUAGUUGGUAGGGUAAAAGCCUACCAAGGCGACGAUCCAUAGCUGGUCUGAGAGGAUGAUCAGCCACACUGGGACUGAGACACGGCCCAGACUCCUACGGGAGGCAGCAGUGGGGAAUAUUGGACAAUGGGCGAAAGCCUGAUCCAGCAAUGCCUCGUGAGUGAUGAAGGCCUUAGGGUUGUAAAGCUCUUUUACCCGGGAUGAUAAUGACAGUACCGGGAGAACAAGCUCCGGCUAACUCCGUG